ACCCAGUUGACGAGUCCCAAAUAGGACGAAACGCGAGUCAUGCAU
rfam:Schistosoma haematobium scaffold359_13, whole genome shotgun sequence.